rnacentral:misc_RNA from 1 species
CCCUUCCGGUCUUCGAGACCGUGUUUUCAACUCGCCGCAGGACCCCACGAAAGUGGCCAGAAAUGCGGACGAGGCGAAGUAACCCUUGACUAUGAGUACCUUUUGUUCCCUCGGCGGGCUCGCGCCCGUCGCUGGGCCCAUCCAAACCCCUUUGCAGUAGCAGUAUACCUCUGAUCGCGGGCACUUGAAUCUUUA